UCCCAAGAAACGAGCUCUCGUUAAGUCUUGCCACAGAUGUUUCUAAUGAAAGCUCGGAGAUAAGCCUUUGCGCUGCUACUAAAUCUACAAGAAUAACCUCAGAGCAAGCUUCUUCCAGCAGCAAACACGUUUCUAAUAACGUCUCUCAAGUGAUAUUUGGCUCAAAGUACCUUCACUCCGUUCAAGAAAUACUAUCUCAUUUCGCCACAUACUCCCUCAACGGCAUAGAGACUAAUCCUCAAUGCUACUUUUCUUCUCGAGGAACCGAGUCAGAGGGUACAAACUCAGCCUUUGUCUCAUGUUAUGAGAAUCUAAACGAGUUUCUUGAUGGCGGUUCGCAAAGAAGAGCAUUAGAAGCAAAGAAAACCCAUCUCUUGGAUCUUCUUCAAAUGGUAUAAUAAUAUAUAUUAACACAUUUUUACAUAAACCAAGAAAUUAUUUACUAAUUACUGAAAGUUUUUUCGAGUUGAUUUUUGUCUUCAGGUGGAUGAUCGAUAUAGUCAUUGCGUUGACGAGAUUCAUACGGUUGUAUCAGCCUUCCAUGCAGCAACCGAGUUAGAUCCUCAGCUACACACCCGGUUUGCACUCCAAACCGUCUCCUUCUUAUACAAGAACCUGAGAGAGAGAAUCAGCAAGAAGAUACUCAUGAUGGGAACGGUUUUGGAGAGAGGCAAAGAGAAGUCUCAAGAAGACUCAAUCUUCCACCAGCAUUGCCUUCUUCAGCAGCUAAAACGUAAGAACCAUCAGAUUUGGAGACCGCAACGAGGCUUGCCUGAGAAAUCAGUCUCGGUUCUACGUACAUGGAUGUUCCAAAACUUUCUUCACCCGUAAGAAUCCUUUUAACUCUUUAUUAAGCCUACUUUUUGAUGACAUUGGUAGCUAAGCAAAUGAUAUUAACGUAUUCUCUUUGAGUACAGUUACCCGAAAGAUUCAGAGAAACAUCUUCUUGCUAUACGUAGUGGAUUGACAAGAAGUCAGGUAUGUUUUGACUUUAGACGAACGUAUGUUUUGUUACUCAAAUCCAAAUAGCAAGUGACAUAAGUGUCUCGUUUCUUGUGUUUGUGUGUGAUGAAAGGUAUCAAACUGGUUUAUAAAUGCGAGGGUAAGGCUAUGGAAGCCCAUGAUAGAAGACAUGUACGCAGAAAUGAACAAGAGGAAGCUGAGUAACACUCCCCUUCAAGGUGGCAAUGGAGGAAGUUUUAUUAGAGUGCCAAAGUCUGUAAUGAUGAGCCAAGAAAGGGACAAAAUAAGAGAAUGAUUGUGUUACAACUUUGUUUACGCAAUCGUUACAACUUUUACCACGUAUUAUGAUUGUUUUGACUUUUUGUUAUAAUUGUAUAUACUGCUUGUUGUAUCUCAUAUAUUGCUGUUUUGUAUUUGCAUCACUUGUUACUGACUGUUACCAACAUAUUAUCGUCUUAAAUUUAACAAGUUCUUGAUGUUAAAAUACUUGUGAAUACGACCAAAUACUUGUGAAACACGUAAGAGUAGGUUUGCAAGUGGAACCAUAUAUAGGAGAUGAAGAAGAAAAAAAACAGUUUCAAAACACCAAACGAACACAAGACAAGAAGCAAGCCACCACUAAAUUAGUACGAGAGUGCGGAUAAAACACCAAACAACACAACACAAAAAACAAUCUAUUGUAGCCUAGACAUCAUCAUCCAGUUCCUGCCAUUCAUGAAAUAAAACAAAUGGUUUGAACAUAUGAUUUAUUUAAUAAAAUGUAUCAAACUUGACUUACCUUUUCAAAACGGGCAAGUUUCUCUUCAAGACGCUUAUCCUCCUCAUCAAAAAAUCUGUGAACUCUGUACCAAUCCUCUCUUCGCUUGAAAACAUCUGAAACAUCCAUUCAUUGGAAACAGGAAAGCAAAAUAGUUACAUUCUAGAGAAUUAAUGUUGGAGACAUAAUUCAAAAAUACCAUACUUAUGUUAGCUUUGACGAACCAUCCACCAAUGAACGCUAAACCAAGAACUAAUUUGUUCUGCUCCUCCCAAGCAUGCUUGACCCUUGAGGACAGGGGAGAAGAAGCUAUGGAUGAGAUCCCUCUCCGACCAUACUGCAGAUCUCGACAGACACAGACAAUACUACAAUCAUGAAUAGAGAAAUAUAGAGGGAGGAUCCGGAAUAAAAAGAAUAAUUCUUAGCUUAACCUUGGCCAAAACUGUUUGCGAGUGCUUCAUCAUCAUCUUUUGUUCCGUUGAGUGCUUCCUUUGGGUGUAAAAUUAGGGCUUCGCUUUCCUGUGUUAGUUUAUUUACUUGUGGCCCAAAUCAAAGCACUACCCGUGAAUCGAUUUUUGUAAUAAAUAUAUCUUCUAUGUAUUUUAUAACUCUACAAAUUGACCAUGUUUGUUCUUUUACGUUUUUAUAAAAUUUCUUUUAAAAAACUCUGUUUUCUUUUUUUUUUUACUAAAAAAAAAAUCUGUUUUCUUAGCAAAUUACUUUCAUAAGUUAAUGAAAAUUUGGUAAAGCCAUUCACAAAUACUACGUUGUUAAACGGAUUUUCUUAUUUUAAUUUUAAUUUUAACGAUUUUAACUACUUUUUAAAAAAUGCGUGUUUCAAUUUUUUCUUGUUAUGAAUUCAUUACUUAAUAAUGUUCAAGUGAUCUGUAAGUGUAUUUUUGCUAUUUUUUACCUUUAAACUGAUUGUAGCCUUGAUCAAAAAAAAAAUGAUUGUAGCCAACUAAGAUUCUGAAUCCAAAACCGGCUCAUUCUACAAAAAUAGCAUAAAUACUUCUCUUAUUGCUAAUGCUCAAGAUGAUCUCGAUAUCCCCAAGUCUCUUGCAAAGAAGGUGCCUGCGGUUGAGGCACCAAGUGCUGAAGAUCAUCACAGUGGGAACAAUAUUCAUCAGACUAUGAGCCAGUGAGACGAAUGUUCCAAAACUCUCUUCACCCGUAAGAAAAAUCUCUUAUUGACCCAAGGAGCAAGUGUUAUAAUAAGUGUAUCUUGUUUGUUGUGUUUGUGUGUGAUGAAAGGUAUCAAACUGGUUUAAAUGCGAGGGUAAGGCUAUGGAAGCCGAUGAUAGAAGGACAUGUACGCAGAAAUGAACAAGAGGAAGCUGAGUAACACUCAUCUUCAAGGUGGCAAUGGAGGAAGUCUUAUUAGAGUGCCAAAGUCUGUAAUGAUGAGCCAAGAAAGGGACAAAAUAAGAGAAUGAUUGUGUUACAACUUUGUUUACGCAAAAUCGCUACGUAUUAAGAUUGUUUUUGACUUUUUUGUUAUAAUUUUUUUUUUGGGUGUAAAUGUUAAAUUCAUACCAAAGGCUUUUUGUUUUUUACAGAGUUGUUGCUUAGCAACUUAUUACAUUAGAAGGGGGAUAAAAGACAUUUGCUGUUAUAAUUGUAAUUGUAUAUACAGCUUGUUCUUUUAUCUCAUAGUAUAUUUGCUGUUUUGUAAUUUGCAUCAUGUGUUAUCAACUUAUCAUCGUCUAAAAAUGUAACAAGUUCUUGAUUGUCUUCGGCCAAACUUACGAAACACAGCGGUUUAAUGUCUGUUUUACGCGUUUUACGAAAUCAAAGCUAUGUAGUUCUGCUCCUUGGAGGUUUGCAAUUGCUUGGGAGGUUCUCUGUUGUGGUCAGCAUUGGAGCUUUGUGUCAUCUGUGGUCAGCAUUGGUCAGCAUCUGUGUCAUCUAAAUUGAAAUUUGAGUGUCUUUUCCAUCUAGUGACAGGUUGUGUGAGAAAAAAGCUUAUUGCUUAGAUUAUACAUUUCUCUAAAUGAAAGCUUGAGGACUUUUGUGUUUCAGCUUAGAUAGGAUUUCACCAACAAUGCCAAAUCUGCUAUUGCUUCUAUAAGAGGAUUGUCAGAGCUACUAAAUCAUCUGGUCGGGCGGACCUCACACUUCUAUUCCCUGCAGCGGCUCAGGAAGCUAAACAUUUCAGAGCACAAAACCUAAUCUUAAGGGUGGAAAUUUCAUUUUCUACAAAACAAUUCUCCUCUAGCCACAAUCUAAGCGCCACAUAUAACAGAAAUAUUUUAUAAGACACAACCAUGAAGUAGUUAUUACAGUGAUUGGCAGAUAAUGUGUUCAUCAACGGCUGCAAACAUAGACAAAACAGAAACAAACAGACGCAACCAAUUACCGUCACUUGGUUUUCUCUUUAAGAGAGGAAAUCCACUUGCCCCUCCUGGCCUCCAUUUUUUCCAGACGUUGGAGACCUUUAACGAAGCGCUGAAAUUAAAAUGAGAAGAAGACUUAUAUAGGAAAGAAAGAAGAAGAAAAAGAUUUUAACCCAAUCCCUUGAGGUUAUUUACCUCUUCAUAUUCCCGGAGCCCCUUAGAGACGGGGCUUGUUGUCACACCACCUGACGAAGACGGUUUUUAGUGAACCCAAAAAAUCUAUAUAUAUAUAUAUAUAUAUAUAAAAAUAUUACAAACCACACACCGAGCAGGAAUCCAGCACCACCAAAGACCGCUGUGAAGCAGUAUCGAUAAACUUUCGAGACAGCUAACAAACAAAAAGUUGAUUCCAACGAGAAUUAGAAACAAAAAAUUUGACUUGAGGAGAGAUAUUGAUAUGCCAAUAAAUAAUGAGAUACCUUUCUCACUCACGGAUGAAAAAUCACGACACUGCAGCCUAGCUCCCCUUGCGGCAAGACUGCAUAAUUUAUUCAUUCAACCUCAGUGAACAGAGACAAAAGCAAAAUAAAUAUCAAACACACCCAGAGACAAAGAUCUCUCUGGAUUACCUUAGCCAAGGUGUUUCCCAGGAACGGCAACAUCUUCUUUUGUCCUCGUCGAAUUGGAGAGCCUAGGGUUUUCAAGAUUAGGGAUCUUAGUUCCAAAUUUAUUAUUAAAAAGUGUUACUUCCCUGCUACACACGGCUCAAAUCUAUUAGGAUUUUUUUUAAAUAUUAUUGGACAAAAACACAUAGGCAAUAAUUAGUGCUGGGUUUGCGGGUCAACCCGCCCUGACCCGCUGCGGAUUGAAUCAUUUUUUUGAUUCAAAAAAUCGACCCGCAUAACUCACAAACAAAAAAAUUUCUACCCGCAAAAACCCACGGGUAACCCGCUUAACCCGCGGGUAAUAUUAAUUAUAUUAAUUAUAUUAAAAAUAAUUAUUUUAAUUAAAAAUAAUUAUUAUAUAGUUAAAAAAUAUUAUUUUUAAAAAAUUAUAUUAAAAAUUCAUUUCUCACUUUAAAUCUCUCUUGGGCCAUUUGGGCCUAUUAAAAAAUCAGAUUCAAUUCCCACUUUUUUUUUUCCUUUGGGCCAUUGGGUCCAAGUUAAAAUAAUUUUUUUUCAACUAUUCUUAAUUAUUAUUUUUUUCUUUUCUUAAUAUAAUUUAAGCAUUCAUAAAAAUAAUUGAAUUUUUUUAUUGAAAAGUAUAAAUCUUUAUUAAAAGUAUAUAAUUUUUUAAUUAAAAUAUUAACCCCAUAAUAAAAUUAAUUUAUCAGAGUUAUACCAACUUAAUUCAUUAAAAAAAUAAAGUUUAAUUUUUUUUAACAUAAAUAGUCAUUUAAAAUGAAAUACGAUAAAUAAAGAUAAAAAAUUUAAUUCUUUUAUAAAAUAAAGCACAAAUAUAUGAAAAUGUGACAUUUACUAAAUAUUUGUCAAUUGAAAAAAAAAACAAAAAUAAACCUGCGCUUUGAAAGCGCGGGUCAAAAUCUAGUAGAGUAUUACAAUAACAACAAUAUAAAGAGUUUUACCAAAAGAACAAAAAAUAUAAAGAGUAUUAUGAUGGUUGAGCAGAGCUGCAGGUCCUUGUCAUCUUCUUUCAUGUUUGUUCUCUCCAUUUAUAGGAAAUAUGUCAUAGAAUGUACUUAAAAUAAAAUUGAGUAAAACAGAGAAAAUUUGAUAUCUAGAUUUGUAUUAAUAAGCCAUAGAAAACGUUAUAUUGAUUAUGAUUGUACAUGGAUAAACGUAAUGUAUGUAAACGUAAAUUUUAUAUCAUUGCUGUAGGAAAAAAACCGUAAGAUUUAUAACAAUGAAACACUUACUUCUUCCUUUUUGAUAAUGUGAUGUAGCUCCUUAUUUUGUAAUUCAACCACAAAUGAAAAGUAAAUAUAUAAUUUUUUUUUCUUCGGGAAGCACCAUGGUAUAAAUUUUGUUUGUCAGAUAUAUAACGUAGAAAAGAAAGCAGAGUAGGUUUGCAACAUAUAUAUAUAGGAUGGAGAUGAAGAAGAAAAAAAAACAGUUUCAAAACACCAAACUAACACAAGACCAGAAGCAAGCCACUAUUAAAUUAGUACGAGAGUGCGGAAAAAACACCAAACAAGGCAACACAAAAGACAAUCAAUUGUCGCCUAGACAUUAUCAUCCAGUUCCUGCCAUUCAUGAAAUAAAACAAAUGUGGUUUGAACAUAUGAUUUAUUUAAUAAAAUGUAUCAAACUUGAAUUACCUUUUCAUUACGGGCACGUCAAGACGCUUCUUCUCAUCAUCAAAAAAUCUGUGUACUCUAUACCAAUCCUCUCUUCUCUUUAAAAGAUCUGAAAGAUACAUUCAUUGGAAACAGGAAAGAAAAAUAGUUACCUUCUAGAGAAUUAGUGUUGGAAACAUCUAUAAAAUUAAUUCAAAAAACCAUACUUAUGGAAGCUUUGACGAACCAUCCACCAAAGAACGCUAAACCAAGAACUAAUCCGUCCUGCUCCUCCCAAGCAUGCUUGACCCUCGUGGACAUGGGGGAAGAGGCGAUGGAUGAGAUCCCUUUCCGACAAUACUGCAUAUCUCGACGAAACAGACAAGACUACAAUCACGAAUACAGAGAAAUCGAGAGGGAGAGAUCCGGAAUAAAAUAUGAUUCUUAGCUUAACCUUGGCCAAAAUCAUUUGCGCGUGCUUCAUCAUCAUCUUUUGUUCCGCUGAGUGCUUCCUUUGGGUGUAAAAUUAGGGCUUCUGCUUUCCUUUGUUAGUUUAUUUACUUGUGGCCCAAAUCAAAGCACUACUCGUGUUUCCUUGAAUGAUUUGAAUCAAUUUUUGUAAUAAAUAUAUCUUCUAUGUAUUUUAUAAUUCUACAAAUUGAUCAUGUUUUUUUUUUAAGAAAAAAAUCUCUGUUUUCUUAUCAUAUUAUUUUCAAAAAAAAAUUAUAUUGCUAAUUUGUUUUCAUAAGGUAAUGAAAAUUGAAUCUUGAGGGUGGUAAGUUCAUUUUCCACAGAACAGUUCUCCUCUAGCCCCAACCCGAAAAUGCUAUAUCAUAUCGCUCUUUAGAUUCUCAUAUACCGCAGGUCAUCCGUGAGACCAACUCAUGAUUGGCCGAUAAAGCAGAAGCUCUUCACUUUGGAUGUUAUGUACUUUCCCGACAAACCGAAUCCUGAUAACUGUCCUCAAGAUGUGUAUGGCUCUCUUGUUGAUGCUGUAGGACAUGUUUCAGACAUGUCUAAUAAGUCUUCCAAGUUAUAUUUGGUUCAACGUACAACAUGUGGAUCGUCUUGGAGAAAAUAGUGAGUUUCAUGCAUAUCCAUACGUAGAAGGUGUUGUUGGUCUUAGUGAACCAAUAAUAUCUACAAUCGGUGGCAAAGAAGAUUUCCCAAGAAACGAACUCUCGUUAAGUCUUGCCACAGAUGUUUCUGAUGAGUGCUCGGAGACAAGUCUUUGUGCUGCUUAAAUCUACUAGAGGAACCUCAGAGCAAGCUUCUUCCAGCAGCAAACACGUUUCUAAUAACGUCUCUCAAGUGAUAUUUGGCUCAAAGUACCUUCACUCCGUUCAAGAAAUACUAUCUCAUUUCGCCACAUACUCCCUCAACGGCAUAGAGACUAAUCCUCAAUGCUACUUUUCUUCUCGAGGAACCGAGUCAGAGGGUACAAACUCAGCCUUUGUCUCAUGUUAUGAGAAUCUAAACGAGUUUCUUGAUGGCGGUUCGCAAAGAAGAGCAUUAGAAGCAAAGAAAACCCAUCUCUUGGAUCUUCUUCAAAUGGUAUAAUAAUAUAUAUUAACACAUUUUUACAUAAACUAAGAAAUUAUUUACUAAUUACUGAAAGUUUUUUCGAGUUGAUUUUUGUCUUCAGGUGGAUGAUCGAUAUAGUCAUUGCGUUGACGAGAUUCAUACGGUUGUAUCAGCCUUCCAUGCAGCAACCGAGUUAGAUCCUCAGCUACACACCCGGUUUGCACUCCAAACCGUCUCCUUCUUAUACAAGAACCUGAGAGAGAGAAUCAGCAAGAAGAUACUCAUGAUGGGAACGGUUUUGGAGAGAGGCAAAGAGAAGUCUCAAGAAGACUCAAUCUUCCACCAGCAUUGCCUUCUUCAGCAGCUAAAACGUAAGAACCAUCAGAUUUGGAGACCGCAACGAGGCUUGCCUGAGAAAUCAGUCUCGGUUCUACGUACAUGGAUGUUCCAAAACUUUCUUCACCCGUAAGAAUCCUUUUAAAUCUUUAUUAAGCCUACUUUUUGAUGAUAUUGGUAGCUAAGCAAAUGAUAUUAAUGUAUUCUCUUUGACUACAGCUACCCGAAAGAUUCAGAGAAACAUCUUCUUGCUAUACGUAGUGGAUUGACAAGAAGUCAGGUAUGUUUUGACUUUAGACGCACGUAUGUUUUGUUACUCAAAUCCAAAUAGCAAGUGACAUAAGUGUCUCGUUUCUUGUGUUUGUGUGUGAUGAAAGGUAUCAAACUGGUUUAUAAAUGCGAGGGUAAGGCUAUGGAAGCCCAUGAUAGAAGACAUGUACGCAGAAAUGAACAAGAGGAAGCUGAGUAACACUCCCCUUCAAGGUGGCAAUGGAGGAAGUUUUAUUAGAGUGCCAAAGUCUGUAAUGAUGAGCCAAGAAAGGGACAAAAUAAGAGAAUGAUUGUGUUACAACUUUGUUUACGCAAUCGUUACAACUUUUACCACGUAUUAUGAUUGUUUUGACUUUUUGUUAUAAUUGUAUAUACUGCUUGUUGUAUCUCAUAUAUUGCUGUUUUGUAUUUGCAUCACUUGUUACUGACUGUUACCAACAUAUUAUCGUCUUAAAUUUAACAAGUUCUUGAUGUUAAAAUACUUGUGAAUACGACCAAAUACUUGUGAAACACGUAAGAGUAGGUUUGCAAGUGGAACCAUAUAUAGGAGAUGAAGAAGAAAAAAAACAGUUUCAAAACACCAAACGAACACAAGACAAGAAGCAAGCCACCACUAAAUUAGUACGAGAGUGCGGAUAAAACACCAAACAACACAACACAAAAAACAAUCAAUUGUAGCCUAGACAUCAUCAUCCAGUUCCUGCCAUUCAUGAAAUAAAACAAAAUGGUUUGAACAUAUGAUUUAUUUAAUAAAAUGUAUCAAACUUGACUUACCUUUUCAUUACGGGCACGUUUCUCUUCAAGACGCUUCUUCUCAUCAUCAACAAAUUUGUGAACUCUGUACCAAUCCUCUCUUCGCUUGAAAACAUCUGAAACAUCCAUUCAUUGGAAACAGGAAAGCAAAAUAGUUACAUUCUAGAGAAUUAAUGUUGGCGACAUAAUUCAAAGAACCAUACUUAUGUUAGCUUUGACGAACCAUCCACCAAUGAACGCUAAACCAAGAACUAAUUUGUUCUGCUCCUCCCAAGCAUGCUUGACCCUUGAGGACAGAGGAGAAGAAGCUAUGGAUGAGAUCCCUUUCCGAAAAUACUGCAGAUCUCGACAGACACAGACAAUACUACAAUCAUGAAUAGAGAAAUAGAGAGGGAGGAUCCGGAAUAAAAAGAAUAAUUCUUAGCUUAACCUUGGCCAAAAUCGUUUGCGAGUGCUUCAUCAUCAUCUUUUGUUCCGCUGUGUCCUUCCUUUGGGUGUAAAAUUAGGGUUUCUGCUUUCCUUUUUUAUUUUUAUUUACUUGUGGCCCAAAUCAAAGCAGUAUCUCUUAAAUUUAUUGAAUUGAUUUUGAUAAAUAUAUCCUCUUAUGUAUUUUAACUCUAUAAAUUGAUCAUGUUUGUUCUUUUUCGUAUUUAUAAAAUUUCUUUUAAAAAAACUCUGUUUUUUUUUUUUAACUAAAAAAAACUCUGUUUUCUUAGCAAAUUAUUUUCAUAAGUUAAUGAAAAUUUAGUAAAGCCAUUCACAAAUACUAAUUUGUUAGCCGGAUUUUCUUAUUUUAAUUUUAAUUUUAACUACUUUUUUUUUAAAUGCGUCUUUCAAUUUUUUCUUUUGAUUGCUAGGUUAAGAAAUAUGAUAUAUAUAAUGCUUUGGUUUACCAAUGGUCUGAUUCAAUUAAAAUCAAUACAAAACCAACAUUUAGAGAACCGGGUCGUUACAGUAAGGCUAUGGAAGCCGAUGAUAGAAGGACAUGUACGCAGAAAUGAACAAGAGGAAGCUGAGUAACACUCACCUUCAAGGUGGCAAUGGAGGAAGUCUUAUUAGAGUGCCAAAGUCUGUAAUGAUGAGCCAAGAAAGGGACAAAAUAAGAGAAUGAUUGUGUUACAACUUUGUUUACGCAAAAUCGCUACGUAUUAAGAUUGUUUUUUGACUUUUUUGUUAUAAUUUUUUUUUUGGGUGUAAAUGUUAAAUUCAUACCAAAGGCUUUUUGUUUUUUACAGAGUUGUUGCUUAGCAACUUAUUACAUUAGAAGGGGGAUAAAAGACAUUUGCUGUUAUAAUUGUAAUUGUAUAUACAGCUUGUUCUUUUAUCUCAUAGUAUAUUUGCUGUUUUGUAAUUUGCAUCAUGUGUUAUCAACUUAUCAUCGUCUAAAAAUGUAACAAGUUCUUGAUUGUCUUCGGCCAAACUUACGAAACACAGCGGUUUAAUGUCUGUUUUACGCGUUUUACGAAAUCAAAGCUAUGUAGUUCUGCUCCUUGGAGGUUUGCAAUUGCUUGGGAGGUUCUCUGUUGUGGUCAGCAUUGGAGCUUUGUGUCAUCUGUGGUCAGCAUUGGUCAGCAUCUGUGUCAUCUAAAUUGAAAUUUGAGUGUCUUUUCCAUCUAGUGACAGGUUGUGUGAGAAAAAAGCUUAUUGCUUAGAUUAUACAUUUCUCUAAAUGAAAGCUUGAGGACUUUUGUGUUUCAGCUUAGAUAGGAUUUCACCAACAAUGCCAAAUCUGCUAUUGCUUCUAUAAGAGGAUUGUCAGAGCUACUAAAUCAUCUGGUCGGGCGGACCUCACACUUCUAUUCCCUGCAGCGGCUCAGGAAGCUAAACAUUUCAGAGCACAAAACCUAAUCUUAAGGGUGGAAAUUUCAUUUUCUACAAAACAAUUCUCCUCUAGCCACAAUCUAAGCGCCACAUAUAACAGAAAUAUUUUAUAAGACACAACCAUGAAGUAGUUAUUACAGUGAUUGGCAGAUAAUGUGUUCAUCAACGGCUGCAAACAUAGACAAAACAGAAACAAACAGACGCAACCAAUUACCGUCACUUGGUUUUCUCUUUAAGAGAGGAAAUCCACUUGCCCCUCCUGGCCUCCAUUUUUUCCAGACGUUGGAGACCUUUAACGAAGCGCUGAAAUUAAAAUGAGAAGAAGACUUAUAUAGGAAAGAAAGAAGAAGAAAAAGAUUUUAACCCAAUCCCUUGAGGUUAUUUACCUCUUCAUAUUCCCGGAGCCCCUUAGAGACGGGGCUUGUUGUCACACCACCUGACGAAGACGGUUUUUAGUGAACCCAAAAAAUCUAUAUAUAUAUAUAUAUAUAUAUAAAAAUAUUACAAACCACACACCGAGCAGGAAUCCAGCACCACCAAAGACCGCUGUGAAGCAGUAUCGAUAAACUUUCGAGACAGCUAACAAACAAAAAGUUGAUUCCAACGAGAAUUAGAAACAAAAAAUUUGACUUGAGGAGAGAUAUUGAUAUGCCAAUAAAUAAUGAGAUACCUUUCUCACUCACGGAUGAAAAAUCACGACACUGCAGCCUCCCCUUGCGGCAAGACUGCAUAAUUUAUUCAUUCAACCUCAGUGAACAGAGACAAAAGCAAAAUAAAUAUCAAACACACCCAGAGACAAAGAUCUCUCUGGAUUACCUUAGCCAAGGUGUUUCCCAGGAACGGCAACAUCUUCUUUUGUCCUCGUCGAAUUGGAGAGCCUAGGGUUUUCAAGAUUAGGGAUCUUAGUUCCAAAUUUAUUAUUAAAAAGUGUUACUUCCCUGCUACACACGGCUCAAAUCUAUUAGGAUUUUUUUUAAAUAUUAUUGGACAAAAACACAUAGGCAAUAAUUAGUGCUGGGUUUGCGGGUCAACCCGCCCCGACCCGCUGCAGAUUGAAUCAUUUUUUUGAUUCAAAAAAUCGACCCGCAUAACUCACAAACAAAAAAAUUUCUACCCGCAAAAACCCGCGGGUAACCCGCUUAACCCGCGGGUAAUAUUAAUUAUAUUAAUUAUAUUAAAAAUAAUUAUUUUAAUUAAAAAUAAUUAUUAUAUAGUUAAAAAAUAUUAUUUUUAAAAAAUUAUAUUAAAAAUUCAUUUCUCACUUUAAAUCUCUCUUGGGCCAUUUGGGCCUAUUAAAAAAUCAGAUUCAAUUCCCACUUUUUUUUUUCCUUUGGGCCAUUGGGUCCAAGUUAAAAUAAUUUUUUUUCAACUAUUCUUAAUUAUUAUUUUUUUCUUUUCUUAAUAUAAUUUAAGCAUUCAUAAAAAUAAUUGAAUUUUUUUAUUGAAAAGUAUAAAUCUUUAUUAAAAGUAUAUAAUUUUUUAAUUAAAAUAUUAACCCCAUAAUAAAAUUAAUUUAUCAGAGUUAUACCAACUUAAUUCAUUAAAAAAAUAAAGUUUAAUUUUUUUUAACAUAAAUAGUCAUUUAAAAUGAAAUACGAUAAAUAAAGAUAAAAAAUUUAAUUCUUUUAUAAAAUAAAGCACAAAUAUAUGAAAAUGUGACAUUUACUAAAUAUUUGUCAAUUGAAAAAAAAAACAAAAAUAAACCUGCGCUUUGAAAGCGCGGGUCAAAAUCUAGUAGAGUAUUACAAUAACAACAAUAUAAAGAGUUUUACCAAAAGAACAAAAAAUAUAAAGAGUAUUAUGAUGGUUGAGCAGAGCUGCAGGUCCUUGUCAUCUUCUUUCAUGUUUGUUCUCUCCAUUUAUAGGAAAUAUGUCAUAGAAUGUACUUAAAAUAAAAUUGAGUAAAACAGAGAAAAUUUGAUAUCUAGAUUUGUAUUAAUAAGCCAUAGAAAACGUUAUAUUGAUUAUGAUUGUACAUGGAUAAACGUAAUGUAUGUAAACGUAAAUUUUAUAUCAUUGCUGUAGGAAAAAAACCGUAAGAUUUAUAACAAUGAAACACUUACUUCUUCCUUUUUGAUAAUGUGAUGUAGCUCCUUAUUUUGUAAUUCAACCACAAAUGAAAAGUAAAUAUAUAAUUUUUUUUUCUUCGGGAAGCACCAUGGUAUAAAUUUUGUUUGUCAGAUAUAUAACGUAGAAAAGAAAGCAGAGUAGGUUUGCAACAUAUAUAUAUAGGAUGGAGAUGAAGAAGAAAAAAAAACAGUUUCAAAACACCAAACUAACACAAGACCAGAAGCAAGCCACUAUUAAAUUAGUACGAGAGUGCGGAAAAAACACCAAACAAGGCAACACAAAAGACAAUCAAUUGUCGCCUAGACAUUAUCAUCCAGUUCCUGCCAUUCAUGAAAUAAAACAAAUGUGGUUUGAACAUAUGAUUUAUUUAAUAAAAUGUAUCAAACUUGAAUUACCUUUUCAUUACGGGCACGUCAAGACGCUUCUUCUCAUCAUCAAAAAAUCUGUGUACUCUAUACCAAUCCUCUCUUCUCUUUAAAAGAUCUGAAAGAUACAUUCAUUGGAAACAGGAAAGAAAAAUAGUUACCUUCUAGAGAAUUAGUGUUGGAAACAUCUAUAAAAUUAAUUCAAAAAACCAUACUUAUGGAAGCUUUGACGAACCAUCCACCAAAGAACGCUAAACCAAGAACUAAUCCGUCCUGCUCCUCCCAAGCAUGCUUGACCCUCGUGGACAUGGGGGAAGAGGCGAUGGAUGAGAUCCCUUUCCGACAAUACUGCAUAUCUCGACGAAACAGACAAGACUACAAUCACGAAUACAGAGAAAUCGAGAGGGAGAGAUCCGGAAUAAAAUAUGAUUCUUAGCUUAACCUUGGCCAAAAUCAUUUGCGCGUGCUUCAUCAUCAUCUUUUGUUCCGCUGAGUGCUUCCUUUGGGUGUAAAAUUAGGGCUUCUGCUUUCCUUUGUUAGUUUAUUUACUUGUGGCCCAAAUCAAAGCACUACUCGUGUUUCCUUGAAUGAUUUGAAUCAAUUUUUGUAAUAAAUAUAUCUUCUAUGUAUUUUAUAAUUCUACAAAUUGAUCAUGUUUUUUUUUUAAGAAAAAAAUCUCUGUUUUCUUAUCAUAUUAUUUUCAAAAAAAAAUUAUAUUGCUAAUUUGUUUUCAUAAGGUAAUGAAAAUUGAAUCUUGAGGGUGGUAAGUUCAUUUUCCACAGAACAGUUCUCCUCUAGCCCCAACCCGAAAAUGCUAUAUCAUAUCGCUCUUUAGAUUCUCAUAUACCGCAGGUCAUCCGUGAGACCAACUCAUGAUUGGCCGAUAAAGCAGAAGCUCUUCACUUUGGAUGUUAUGUACUUUCCCGACAAACCGAAUCCUGAUAACUGUCCUCAAGAUGUGUAUGGCUCUCUUGUUGAUGCUGUAGGACAUGUUUCAGACAUGUCUAAUAAGUCUUCCAAGUUAUAUUUGGUUCAACGUACAACAUGUGGAUCGUCUUGGAGAAAAUAGUGAGUUUCAUGCAUAUCCAUACGUAGAAGGUGUUGUUGGUCUUAGUGAACCAAUAAUAUCUACAAUCGGUGGCAAAGAAGAUUUCCCAAGAAACGAACUCUCGUUAAGUCUUGCCACAGAUGUUUCUGAUGAGUGCUCGGAGACAAGUCUUUGUGCUGCUUAAAUCUACUAGAGGAACCUCAGAGCAAGCUUCUUCCAGCAGCAAACACGUUUCUAAUAACGUCUCUCAAGUGAUAUUUGGCUCAAAGUACCUUCACUCCGUUCAAGAAAUACUAUCUCAUUUCGCCACAUACUCCCUC
rnacentral:lncRNA from 1 species